rnacentral:rRNA from 1 species
GACCGGAAUAACGCCUGGAAACGGGUGCUAAUGCCGGAUAGGCAACGAGGAGGCAUCUCCUUGUUGGGAAAGGUGCAACUGCACCGCAGAUGGAGGAGCCCGCGGCGCAUUAGCUAGUUGGUGGGGUAACGGCCUACCAAGGCGACGAUGCGUAGCCGACCUGAGAGGGUGGACGGCCACACUGGGACUGAGACACGGCCCAGACUCCUACGGGAGGCAGCAGUAGGGAAUCUUCCGCAAUGGGCGCAAGCCUGACGGAGCAACGCCGCGUGAGCGAAGAAGGCCUUCGGGUUGUAAAGCUCAGUCACUCGGGAAGAGCGGACGAAGGAGUGGAAAGCCUUCGUCGAGACGGUACCGAGAGAGGAAGCCCCGGCUAACUACGUGCCAGCAGCCGCGGUAAUACGUAGGGGGCAAGCGUUGUCCGGAAUCACUGGGCGUAAAGCGUGCGUAGGCGGUCGCGUGUGUCUGGGGUGAAAGUCCAGGGCUCAACUCUGGGAUUGCCUUGGAAACUGCGUGACUUGAGUACUGGAGAGGCAAGGGGAAUUCCGCGUGUAGCGGUGGAAUGCGUAGAUAUGCGGAGGAAUACCAGUGGCGAAGGCGCCUUGCUGGACAGUGACUGACGCUGAGGCA